CGGGUGAGUAACGCGUGAGGAACCUGCCUCAAAGAGGGGGACAACAGUUGGAAACGACUGCUAAUACCGCAUAAGCCCACAGCUCGGCAUCGAGCAGAGGGAAAAGGAGUGAUCCGCUUUGAGAUGGCCUCGCGUCCGAUUAGCUAGUUGGUGAGGUAAUGGCCCACCAAGGCGACGACCGGUAGCCGGACUGAGAGGUUGAACGGCCACAUUGGGACUGAGACACGGCCCAG
rnacentral:rRNA from 1 species